rfam:Calypte anna contig43265, whole genome shotgun sequence.
GGUCCCAUGGUGUAAUGGUGAGCACUCUGGACUCUGAAUCCAGCGAUCCGAGUUCGAAUCUCGGUGGGACCU